rnacentral:lncRNA from 10 species
CAUGUUUCUACUCACCACCUUCUCCCUAUGAAGACUUAACGUCACUCUGCACGUCCAAAGGUAGCAGGAGCGGGGAGUUGUUGCUAUUGAGCCAGAUGUACCACUGACACCUAGGAUGGGGAAGGAGCAAGUGGUCAAACUUACCAACUGAUGUUCCACAACCUUCACACAUGGCCUCUACCUGAGACAACUCUCCAGAUGAAGAAGCUGAAGCCCACAGAAAAGUGACUUACUGGAUGUCACAUGGUUAGUGGGUUAGUUGGUAAUAAAAUAUACUCUGAGAUGCUCAGUCACAAAGCAACUGUUAACAAGAAACACAAGAACACCCCACCCAGCUCAGCACAAGGCACAAAUGUUAAGUGGGCCAAGGCUGUCACUGCAGUCUUUUGAGAGCCCUUCUUCCCAGGGAGCCCGCAAACUCACGGGAGAGCCGAGCACUCAGGCAGGUCUAUGAGCUGGAUCUUGAUUUUCGGUUCCACACUGUCUAACCUCUCAGUGAUAUUGUCAGGAGUAGAGAUCAGAACUGGAGGACAAGGAGAGUCAGCACCAAAGAACAGCAACCAUCUCUGCAGAAGUGUCUUACACUAAGAGAUACCCAGUGCCAUCCACAUGCCUACCAUUCAAAUGCUCGCUUGUAUAAAUCCUGAAGUCUAGAACACAAUUGAUAAAAGCUCUAAGCAAAUCUCCAGUUAUUUUGAAGGCAGAAGGGAAGAGGCUGGUCAAUAUGGAGUCCAGAAACACAGAUAUUUAAAAGGUGUCUUCUGGGGGAAGAACCCAUG